rnacentral:rRNA from 1 species
AGAGUUUGAUCCUGGCUCAGGACGAACGCUGGCGGCGUGCUUAACACAUGCAAGUCGAACGGAAAGGCCUCUUCGGAGGUACUCGAGUGGCGAACGGGUGAGUAACACGUGGGUGAUCUGCCCUGCACUCUGGGAUAAGCCUGGGAAACUGGGUCUAAUACCGGAUAGGACCAUGCUUUAGUGUGUGUGGUGGAAAGUUUUUUCGGUGUAGGAUGAGCCCGCGGCCUAUCAGCUUGUUGGUGGGGUAAUGGCCUACCAAGGCGGCGACGGGUAGCCGGACUGAGAGGUUGGUCGGCCACAUUGGGACUGAGAUACGGCCCAGACUCCUACGGGAGGCAGCAGUGGGGAAUAUUGCACAAUGGGCGCAAGCCUGAUGCAGCGACGCCGCGUGGGGGAUGACGGCCUUCGGGUUGUAAACUCCUUUCGCCAGGGACGAAGCGUUUUGUGACGGUACCUGGAGAAGAAGCACCGGCUAACUACGUG